UGAGUACGAGAUGCUACGGCAUCGAAGCAGUCUAUGUCAUACUUCCAAGAAAAGCUCGCACUGUCAAAAACAAAUGAAUGCCUGUACCAUAACCGACACAGGUGGGUAGGUAGAGUAUACUAAGGGGCGCGAGAUAACUCUCUCUAAGGAACUCGGCAAAAUGACUCCGUAACUUCGGGAGAAGGAGUGCCUUAUUUAUAAGGUUGCAAUAACCAGCUCCAAGCAACUGUUUAUCAAAAACACAGGUCUCCGCUAAGUCGUAAGACGAUGUAUGGGGGCUGACGCCUGCCCAGUGCCAGAAGGUUAAAGAAGUUGGUUAGCGCAAGCGAAGCUGAUAACUGAAGCCCUGGUGAACGGCGGCCGUAACGAUAACGGUCCUAAGGUAGCGAAAUUCCUUGUCGGGUAAGUUCCGACCCGCACGAAAGGCGUAAUGAUUUGGAGGCUGUCUCGGAGAGGGACUCGGUGAAAUAGACUUGUCUGUGAAGAUGCGGACUACCUGCACCAGGACAGAAAGACCCUAUGAAGCUUUACUGUAACUUGAGAUUGAAAUUGGACUUUAUUCGCGCAGUAUAGGUGGGAGGCAUUGAAAAUAUUCUUGCGGGAAUAUUGGAGCCAUCAGUGAGAUACCACUCUUGUAAUGUUAGAUUUCUAACUUUGUAUCAUUAUCUGGUCAAAGAACAGUUUCAGGCGGGCAGUUUGACUGGGGCGGUCGCCUCCUAAAUGGUAACGGAGGCGCACAAAGGUUUCCUCUGAACGGGUAGAAAUCGUAUCUAGAGUGUAAAGGCAUAAGGAAGCUUGACUGUGAGACCUACAAGUCGAGCAGGGACGAAAGUCGGUCUUAGUGAUCUGACGGUGCUGAGUGGAAAGGCCGUCACUCAACGGAUAAAAGUUACUCUAGGAUAACAGGCUGAUCUCCCCCAAGAGUUCACAUCGACGGGGAGGUUUGGCACCUCGAUGUCGGCUCAUCGCAUCCUGGGGCGGUAGUACGUCCCAAGGGUUGGGCUGUUCGCCCAUGAAAGCGGUACGCGAGCUGGGUUCAGAACGUCGUGAGACAGUUCGGUCCAUAUCCGGUGUAGGCGUUAGAAUAUUGAGAGGAGCCUUCUAUAGUACGAGGGGACCGAGAAGGACAUACCUCUGGUGUACCAGUUAUCGUGCCAACGGUAAACGCUGGGUAGCCAUGUAUGGAGUGGAUAACCGCUGAAAGCAUCUAAGUGGGAAGCCCACCUCAAGAUAAGUAUUCUC
rnacentral:rRNA from 1 species